rnacentral:rRNA from 1 species
AUUGAACGCUGGCGGCAGGCCUAACACAUGCAAGUCGAACGAGUGGCGGAUGGGUCAGUAAUGUCUGGGAAACUGCCCGAUGGAGGGGGAUAAAUACUGGAAACGGUAGCUAAUACUGCGUACCAUGAGAUGUGCCCAUAUGGGAUUAGCUUGUGGGUGGGGUACUGGCUCACCAGGGCGACGAUCCCUAGCUGGUCUGCGAGGAUGACCGGCCGCACGGGAGCGGGAACACGGCCAAGACUCCUACGGGAGGGAGCAAUGGGGAAUGUGGCACAAUGGGCGCAAACCUGAUGCAUCCAUGCCGCGUGUAUGAAGAAGGCCUUCGGGUUUGAAAGUACUUUCAGCGGGGAUGCGUUAGCCGCAGAAGAAGCACCGGCUAACUCCGUGCCAGCAGCCGCGGUAAUAC